CAUAACUCAUUUCUGUUCAUUGACUUUCAGUUCAGCUGACAAGACAGGAUUUCUCCCUGGAUCUUGGUGUGUUACAUACACCUGUCAAGCAGAAGCUUCACGGCAGCCUCAGGGGAGCAUCUAAAAGACACUCCUGCAAUAACAAUGAACUCACCAUCCAUUUGCUGCCUGUUUCUUUGAAACGAUGAGCAAGUUAAGAACACACCGACCAAACCACUUCAAUUUGCACUUCUCUGGGGGAGAGUAUGGUAAUGCCUGAGUUUGGACCUGCAUGUCUUCCUGCACACCUACAAGUGAGGACAGCCUGAAUAAUUAAGCACUUUGGAUAUUGAAAGCAAUUCGAACAUCUCCUAAACCCAGAGCUGAAUUUUGCUGUUUUCAGCAAGGAAUGAGGGCGACAGAAAUCCAGAGCAAGUUGAGGGCAUGCAUGGUGGGUGAAGGCAGAUGCUGGAUUCUGUCACCAUUUGAGGAAGGGUGGGCAGUGGUUACAGCCUCACAUCCUGGAAAUGAAAGCACUUCCAUCAGAAAAAUUAAAACUGAAUGAACUAGGGACUUGCUGUGGAAGUCCCUUCCUGUUCUGCUCUAUUCAGAUUGGAUUACUUACAGAAACAGAGAGAACAAGCAACCUUGUUACAGGAGACUUGGCUCAGG
rnacentral:lncRNA from 1 species